AGGGUUUGAUCAUGGCUCAGAUUGAACGCUGGCGGCAUGCCUAACACAUGCAAGUCGAACGGUAACAGAUAAGAUGAUCUCUUCGGAGUGAAUCUUUGCUGACGAGUGGCGGACGGGUGAGUAAUGCUUGGGAAUCUGCCCAAUAGUGGGGGAAAACUCGGGGAAACCCGGGCUAAUACCGCAUAAUCUCUACGGAGGAAAGAGGGCCUCUACAUGUAAGCUCUCGCUAAUGGAUGAGCCCAAGUCAGAUUAGCUAGUUGGUAAGGUAAUGGCUUACCAAGGCUACGAUCUGUAGCUGGUCUGAGAGGAUGAUCAGCCACACUGGGACUGAGACACGGCCCAGACUCCUACGGGAGGCAGCAGUGGGGAAUAUUGCACAAUGGGCGCAAGCCUGAUGCAGCAAUGCCGCGUGUGUGAAGAAGGCUCUAGGGUUGUAAAGCACUUUCAAUAGAGAAGAAAAGCUUGAAAUUAAUACUUUCAAGCCUUGACGUAAUCUAUACAAGAAGCACCGGCUAAUUCCGUGCCAGCAGCCGCGGUAAUACGGGAGGUGCGAGCGUUAAUCGGAAUUACUGGGCGUAAAGCGAGCGUA
rnacentral:rRNA from 1 species